AUUGAACGCUGGCGGCAUGCCUUACACAUGCAAGUCGAACGGUAACGCGGGGCAACCUGGCGACGAGUGGCGAACGGGUGAGUAAAGCAUCGGAACGUGCCCAGUAGUGGGGGAUAGCACGGCGAAAGCCGGAUUAAUACCGCAUACGACCUAAGGGUGAACGGGGGGGGAUCGGAAGAACUCUCGCUAUUGUAGCGGCCGAUGUCAGGUUAGGUAAUUGGUGGGGUAAAGGCGUACCAAGCCGACGAUCUGUAGCAGGUCUGAGAGGACGACCAGCCACACUGGGACUGAGACAAGGCCCAGACUCCUACGGGAGGCAGCAGUGGGGAAUUUUGGACAAUGGGCGCAAGCCUGAUCCAGCCAUGCCGCGUGCGGGAAGAAGGCCUUCGGGUUGUAAACCGCUUUUGUCAGGGAAGAAAUCCUUUGGGUUAAUACCUCGGGGGGAUGACGGUACCUGAAGAAUAAGCACCGGCUAACUACGUGCCAGCCGCCGCAGUAACAC
rnacentral:rRNA from 1 species